rnacentral:tRNA from 1 species
GCCGGGGUAGCUCAGUGGCAGAGCAGCUGAUUCGUAAUCAGCAGGCCGUGGGUUCGAGUCCCAUCUCCGGCU